rnacentral:rRNA from 1 species
AGUGAACGCUGGCGGUAGGCCUAACACAUGCAAGUCGAACGGCAGCACAGUAAGAGCUUGCUCUUACGGGUGGCGAGUGGCGGACGGGUGAGGAAUACAUCGGAAUCUACUUUUUCGUGGGGGAUAACGUAGGGAAACUUACGCUAAUACCGCAUACGACCUACGGGUGAAAGCAGGGGAUCUUCGGACCUUGCGCGAUUGAAUGAGCCGAUGUCGGAUUAGCUAGUUGGCGGGGUAAAGGCCCACCAAGGCGACGAUCCGUAGCUGGUCUGAGAGGAUGAUCCGCCACACUGGAACUGAGACACGGUCCAGACUCCUACGGGAGGAAGCAGUGGGGAAUAUUGGACAAUGGGCGAAAGCCUGAUCCAGCCAUACCGCGUGGGUGAAGAAGGCCUUCGGGUUGUAAAGCCCUUUUGUUGGGAAAGAAAAGCAGCAGGUUAAUACCCCGCUGUUCUGACGGUACCCAAAGAAUAAGCACCGGCUAACUUCGUG